rnacentral:rRNA from 1 species
GCAGUAAGGAAUAUUGGUCAAUGGAGGCAACUCUGAACCAGCCAUGCCGCGUGCAGGAAGACAGCCCUAUGGGUCGUAAACUGCUUUUAUCCGGGAAUAAACCUUUCUACGUGUAGAAAGCUGAAUGUACUGGAAGAAUAAGGAUCGGCUAACUCCGUGCCAGCAGCCGCGGUAAUACGGAGGAUCCAAGCGUUAUCCGGAUUUAUUGGGUUUAAAGGGUGCGUAGGCGGCCUGUUAAGUCAGAGGUGAAAGACGGUAGCUCAACUAUCGCAGUGCCUUUGAUACUGAUGGGCUUGAAUAAACUAGAGGUAGGCGGAAUGAGACAAGUAGCGGUGAAAUGCAUAGAUAUGUCUCAGAACACCGAUUGCGAAGGCAGCUUACUAUGGUUUUAUUGACGCUGAGGCACGAAAGCGUGGGGAUCAAACAGGAUUAGA